rnacentral:rRNA from 1 species
GUGGGGAAUCUUAGACAAUGGGGGAAACCCUGAUCUAGCCAUGCCGCGUGAGCGAUGAAGGCCUUAGGGUUGUAAAGCUCUUUCAGCUGGGAAGAUAAUGACGGUACCAGCAGAAGAAGCCCCGGCUAACUCCGUGCCAGCAGCCGCGGUAAUACGGAGGGGGCUAGCGUUGUUCGGAAUUACUGGGCGUAAAGCGCGCGUAGGCGGACUGAAAAGUUGGGGGUGAAAUCCCGGGGCUCAACCUCGGAACUGCCUUCAAAACUAUCAGUCUGGAGUUCGAGAGAGGUGAGUGGAAUUCCGAGUGUAGAGGUGAAAUUCGUAGAUAUUCGGAGGAACACCAGUGGCGAAGGCGGCUCACUGGCUCGAUACUGACGCUGAGGUGCGAAAGCGUGGGGAGCAAACAGGAUUAGAAACCCGUGUAGUCC